UCAUUUUCAUUUUACUGUUUUGUUUGCAAAAAUGACGUCCGAAUUUUUGAUAAACAUUGCAUCAUGACACAUAAGGGCUUUACAGGUACAUGCUUAAUAAACAUUUAAAAUUGCUGUAAAUUUUAAGUGCUUUGGAUCGUCUAUUCAGAAUAGAUACCCUCGGGGCAUUUCCUUAAAAUCCCCUGCAGAUGAUCGUGAAUAUCUUCCCCAGUGAAGUCGCCAACAGAC
rnacentral:lncRNA from 1 species